CCGCAAUGGGUGUUGGGGUGGGAGCAAAAUUUACCUGGAAAGAGACAAAAAAAAUAUUCCCCUUACCACUCGGGUAUACCCAGUCCUCUAGUCCAAAUAUCCACAGUCCCAGUUCGUGCCCAAUCCCUUUGGAUUUGUUAAAAACAAUACUCCUCCUACCCACUCCCCAAUAUAUGAGAACAGGGGAUGCAGGAUCCCCUGGUUCAAUACCGCUACCUCCUGAUGUCUAGGGGUCAUAAUGUUUCCAACCCACCAAACCAACCACC